GAGGCUGGCGGAAAACAAGGCAGGCAAGGCAAGGCAAGGCGAAGGGGCGCAGCCGCCACCCCUCCGCCCGCCCUCGCUCGCUCACUUGCAACAAUUACCCGAACCCGAGUCGCUGCCUGAAGGCUACUGUUAUGUUUGUUCUGGAUAGCAAAGUUGGAAAAUUGCAAAAUUACAGAGAGGAAAACUGGAGCUGGGUCUCCCCAUAGAAAUCAGUGACAAGCUUCUAAUAGGUUUUUAGCCUACUGUCCAAUAGGCCUAUGAGAUCAUCCGGCAUUCCGUUUGUCCGUGUAUGUAUCCCCCUCUAUCAACUUCACAAUGUCUGGACCAAUAUCAGCCAAAUCAGCAGCAGCCCUGAGUACCAAAGAUGACAGCAUAAGAUUCUAACCCUGCUGACCUCAACUGAUUUGUUAAGUAUC